CGUUGGGCCAAAUCGGAAGUACGUCCAGCUCUAGCCCUUUGGUCCGUCGCUUGGUUUUUGUCAGGAACUACUGGGCGCUGCGGGGGUAUCGGUGGCUUCGGAUUUAAGAUUUCCUCGGGACUCCAGGACCAGCUGUGUACCUGUGUCUGGCAAGUACUGGAAUUCCAUGGGCUCGCUGAGCUCCCGAUCGGAAGGCCGCCGCAGCUGCAUGGAGACGCGCACAGGGGCCUGCAGGCUGGGGUCUGCGUAGGGGGGUGUCCGGAAAACAAUGGCCACUUGUCGGUGCACAUCAGCUUGUGAAAAGGAGCCUCGGGCCUCCCAGCCUGGUCCCGUGAAAUACACCUCGAUGUCCUCUGCAGGAGAUGGGGUGGCAGUGUGGGUCACUGUGCUCAACUCACCCAGCCUGCCGCCCCCACGGCUGCUGACACUUAUCCCUGAAGAUACAGCACCAUACUGCCCCCGAGGUGUUGGCGGGGGGUGUUUAAACCAGUUCCCUGACACUCAACAUGUCUGCUCAGCCUUGUCCCUCACCUCCUGCUCCAAAGAGUACAGCCCUGCUUCCUGGUGUGUACCUUUCUGCACCUUGUCACACAGCAGGAAGAUCUCAUCCCCCCCAAGGCAGCUCCCAGAGUUUCGAUUCACUCGGCAGAUCUUGAGCUCGGCGGUGUUGGGGGCACCUGAGGGUGUGGGAAUAAGGAAGGUAGUCCUGAACCACCAGAGGUCUCCCAUGCUGACCUGCACGAAAUGCAAGGCUCCUGCCCAGCCCAGAGUCAAGGUUGUCCAGAGCUUGCUGACUGCACCUCUGCAGCCAAGGGUCAACCCUUCCCAUUUCCCACUGGCUCUUCACCCGAACCAAUUCAGCAGCUAUUUAUCUACCAGCACCUACCAUGUGCCCAGCACUGUUUCAGGCAUGAAGAAUAUAACAACACAUGAAACCUAAAUAUCUCUGCCUUCACAGAGCUUACAGUCCAAUAGGAACCAAUACAAUCACAAUUCCUUCUUCUCCAUCCGACCCAAGCAGUCUUCAAGGCCCAUCCAUACCCACCUUGGCAAUGAACCGUUCCCUCCUAACCCUCAGUUCAUCCUGGUUUCCUAGCCUCGGGGCACCAAAGCCCUUUUAUUUUCACUCAUCCCGCUCACUACUUAAUUAAAGACUGCAGUUGAUCAA